rnacentral:tRNA from 1 species
GCCCCAGUAGCGCAGUGGUAGCGCGGCUGACUUGUAAUCAGCAGGUCGGGGGUUCAACUCCCCUCUGGGGCU